rnacentral:tRNA from 1 species
GGUAUAGCUCAGUUGGUAGAGGGCUUGCCUCAUAUGCACAAGGCCCUGGGUUCAAUCCCCAACACCA